UACGUAGGGUGCGAGCGUUGUCCGGAAUUACUGGGCGUAAAGGGCUCGUAGGUGGCCAACUAAGUCAGACGUGAAAUCCCUCGGCUUAACCGGGGAACUGCAUCUGAUACUGGAUGGCUUGAGUUUGGGAGAGGGAUGCGGAAUUCCAGGUGUAGCGGUGAAAUGCGUAGAUAUCUGGAGGAACACCGAUGGCGAAGGCAGCCCCCUGGGUCAACACUGACGCUCAUGCACGAAAGCGUGGGGAGCAAGCAGG
rnacentral:rRNA from 1 species